AAACUUUCAACAACGGAUCUCUUGGCUCUGGCAUCGAUGAAGAACGCAGCGAAAUGCGAUAAGUAGUGUGAAUUGCAGAAUUCAGUGAAUCAUCGAAUCUUUGAACGCACAUUGCGCCCC
rnacentral:rRNA from 1 species